CGCGGGGCUCCCGGUAACGCCGGAGAGGUUGGUUUGUGCUGUGAGGUGUUGUGGGUUUAACCGCAGCAGUACGGGCUGCAGACCGCAGUCUCCUCCCUUGAGGCAGCAGGGACAUGAACUUGGAGGAAAUAGCUCUUAGUCUGCAAAGAAAGAAUGUGAUGAGAAGAGAUAACGUUGGGCCAAGGAGCUCCUUUUCUCACACUACAAUAACAAGAAGUCACAUCAGAUGCUUGCCCAGAGUCGGUUGGAUGGGAGAUGACUGACAGGACACACAAUUUCAUCCUAGGAGCAAACAGUCAAGCUUGUACCAGAAGCUGAUGGAGGACACAGAAGCUGGCUUUCAAAUGACAAAGCUUUUCAGGUAAUGUGACCAUCUGAAUAGUUAAGAUUGCUUGAUGGUAAACAGCAGAAAUUAUUCAACGUUUCCCUGGAACAAGUGGCAAAAUUCUAUCUCCUCCUGUGAUUGCAGUAACAUUAACAUAACUUAAAGGCAUGCUGGCAGAUCCAUGAAGUACACACUGGUUCAUUUUCCUCCUCCAUUAGGAACUGUUUAAUUGAAGAUAUGGGUUUCAACCCCUCAAGUCAAGUUACAGACAAUGCCAUGUCUAAAAGCAGCUUUUAGCAAUGAUCCUGUGUAGAUGAACCCUAGAGUUUUUGCUUCUCAAACAGGUGAAAACUGUAACUGAGGCUAUCAGCUUAGCUAAUUCCCCAGCCCUGGGAAGCUGAGCCCUUAUGCAGCCUUUGCUGGCAGCACCGCCUGAGAAGAUACAAUGCACAACGGUCUUUUUGGGAGAGGAGGAAAGGAGACCUCUGGAUAACAUCUACCAAGCUGAUGUUACCUACCUAGGUUCAGGUUAUCCACCAGCAUUUGCUACUGUUGGAAAUGGUGAAGAGAAUCAUUCUUCUUAGGAUACAGAGGGGAAAGACAGAGCUAUAGUGAUAUGGAAAGCCAGCAAGAGGAAUAUUGGUCAUCAUGGGAAUCCAGCCUGGCUCUGUCCUGGUGUACAAAAGCCACUUAAAAUACACUCCUAAGUGAGAGCAGCCUAAGUGCCCGCUAGUAGGUCUUUCUCUUAGUUUUCUCCCCAUGUUUCCCCAAGCUCUUAGAGGUUUCUCUCCACUCCUGCCACGAACCACAGUGAUCCUUUUUCCACCUUAAAGCCAAGCACUAAAGAACCGUAUGCAAAAUCCUGCAGUUUGACCCCUAUGCCCAUGUUCCCAGUAAUACCAGCAUUUAAUAGAGGUUAUCCCUUGUCCAAAUUCACUGUGAACUGUUUCAUGCAAAACCCAGUAACUCCAUCCUGUAUAACCCUCGUAUGCCACUGUGGGGCAAAUACCUUAAAGAAGUACGAAAUGAAUGGAAAUUGUGCAGAUUUUCAGUAUUCUGAAUUUUUUAACCACAUUUUGAAUGAAGGCUAGCAGUGUACCAAUGCCUAUCAUGCUUUGUAUCCAGACACAGGAAAUUCAGAAAAGUUUGUUGUAUCUCUUGGAUGUGUUAUAAUGCAUCAAUACAGUUUGGUUAAGAACAUACACUUUAAAAGACUCACAUACACACAAUAGAUGUUACUGCUUGGCAUUUAAUUUCAUCUGCUGAGUGUUGACACAGGACCUUAGCACACUUCAGAAAGAUGUAUAGGCAAGCAGAAAAGAUGUCCAUUAAUGUUUCAAUCUGGACUCUUUUCUGUCUGGCCCUGAUCUCUUCUUCUAUUUAAUGACACCACUUGGAUGCCAAAGCUAAUUUGGAACCUAGCAGCCUACUUAUUAAGUGGGACUUUAUGACAGGAGAGCAUUAUGGUGCUGCUCAGGCAGCUGCACUGGCUGCCAGAAAGCCUAUGGGGAAAAUACAAAGCUUUCAAGGCUCUAAUUGUUUUGGAUCUAGGUUAUUUUGUCAGGAAAAGAGGUGCUCCACUUUAAGAAGCCUUUAUAUAAACGAGAGGUGGGAGACAAGGGCACUUGGAUAUUCAGGUCUGUUCCUCCUGAUGUCUAACUCCCAGAUGCGCUAUUAAGGCCUAUUUUCCAGACAGAGAAUUGGAAGAUAGAUGGUUAUAGAAGCUCCUUGCAGCAUACAAUUAGUUUAUGUGCUAAGUGCAGUAGCAUCAGCUGAUACAAUAGUUAGAGGAUGAAAUUCUGUUAUUUUGAAUGUUACUAUGAAUUAAGAAGACUAUUCCAUCUUUGGAAAGACACUUCUGGCAUGUACAUCUUGUAAAAUGCACCUAAGUGCAAUUUAACCUUGGAAACUUUCUCUGAGGGCUCAAGAAAACCAGAACACUGAGUAGUUUACAUUACAGUUCAGAACACUAUGGCAAGACUGAUCACAGACCUAAGAGUCAUUUUAUUUUAUUUUAUUUUAUUUUAUUUUAUUUUAUUUUAUUUUAUUUUAUUUUAUUUUAUUUUAUUUUAUUUUAUUUUAUUUUAUAAACAAAACAAAGGAACAGCCUUUUUCUACCACAGGAGUUAAGGACAGACAAGGGACCAGUACUACCUUCAGAAGGGUACAAGAUGCUCCCUUGGCACUUAAAGGAAACCAGCAAAUGCAGAUCCAAAGUACAGUUAUGCUGUGAGACUUAAAAUUUCCAAAGUGACUGUCUCAUUCAGGCAACAUCAAGGACUCACCGGAUAAUAAAGGCAGAACUCUUUGUCUGAAUUCUCAUCUUAAAGCACAUGACUUCCUUCUUUUAAUUAAGUUGCUAGCUUAAUAACAGUCCUGUCUCUUAGAGAGCCAAUUUAAUGCCUGUAGAUAAAAUAUAAUGCAGUUAUUAUUAAAGAGCAGGUCACAGCACACCCAUCAUCUCCCUGAGUGAAGGGUGGGCCAAUCCAUCACAAGAUAAGAUAUUGCAUUCCAGCUGGUGCAAGGCAGUAGAGGAUGUGGAUGGGGAGUGCAUUUCCAAGCACAGAGCUAGUCUAGUCUUCCCUUUGGAUUGUCUGCAGUGGUGCAAUUUACCCAUACAUCCACUUAGUUCAGGAAAAGCAGAGAGGGUUCAAUAAAUGAAAUGAAUUUUGUCUAAGUGGGCCCUGCCUACAUGCAGAAAUCUUAUUGGUGUGACUUGAGCAAGAUUCUACAGAUCUGGGUGCCAAGUCCUGCCAAAAUACCUUCAUUUGGUUUCAGGGUGGCUAAGUUACCAAUGUCACCCAUACCCAAACAGCCAAAGAACCUUUUACACAAGCUUAACCUCUGCAACAUACUCCUAUGUCUGUCAUCAUCACAGCUUUAUUCUCUAGUAAGUUAACAUGAAACCAUUGUUUCUCCUGACCUGGUUUCACUAGAUCAUGCACCAGAUCCAUGCCUCUCCUGAGUCUCCCAGAAUCUGCAGAGACCACAGAGAAGUGCAUUUUAAUUCAGUGAGUUCAGCGAUGUCCUCACUAUGGCAUGAAUACACAACCCUGAGGUGAGUCAGCACUCAGGACACAGCAAAACAUUCUUAACAGGUACUUUCAAAGUAGAGAGACAGAAGAGAUAUCUGAAAUGCCCCACAAGUGGUGUCUGUUCAUCUUACUCAAACCAAGAUCCAGGCUGUGAAACUCCAACUCCACCACCCAUGGAGGUGAAGGAAUCAAAGCAAGAGCUGAAUCCUCAUGUGAAAAUGUUGUACUUCACUCAUUUUCCUUCAGAGACAGUUUUCUGGAUAUAUUUUUCCAGGUAUGUGUUUUUGAUUUUGUAUCUUUCAUUAAUUACUUGACAUGGGAAAUGAUUCCACUGGGACUGCUUUAGUCCAGCUAGUUCUGUGGGCAUUGUACCUUGAUGGGGUCCAAGAGUACAGUAAAUGAUAUGCAGCAGCAUGCAAGGACUCAGACCUCCUGAGAUUAAAAACCAGAGAAAUUUUAGUUUACCAUUUUGCCUUUUUAGCAGGUAAGGCAGCCACGUCUACAGGCCAUAAUCAUCCUUGUCUGAAACCAAAUAACACAGAGAAUCAAAAUGCCUUUGCAAGGUUUGAGAUGAAACAGUAAGAAGCCUAGAGAAGAUAAUUCCAUUACAAUUUUAUUGCUGGGCACAUCCAAUAUAGUCAAAGAAGGAGAUAGACGGUAAUCUCAACUGAAAUUGCUUUUGAAAAGAUUUGAUUAUCUGUGUUGCUUAGCUGCAUUUCCAGGCAACAGAAAACUCAGAAUUAUGCUGUAUUUCUUUUUUUUUUUUCCUUCCCCCCCCAACAAUUGUUUUACACAUACUGUUAUAUUAUCUUACAGUUCUCAUCUGGCUGUUUCUUGGUGCCCUAAAGAACACUAUCUGAAUGGCAGACCUCAGGAAGCUUCCCCCCAUUCCCAAGCCAAGAAGAUUUCAAAUGCUGGAAAUAUCCCAGUUCUGAAGCCUGUGUCCCAAAGGCAGCAAAGAAAGCCAGUCUACCUUCUGCUGGUCUCUGCCUCAUAGACAGUCUCAAACAGAGCAAAAAACAGAUGGGUCUUGCUUCUGUUGGGGAAAAAAUAGCAGUGCUGUUUAUAAUAAUGGCUUUGUUUUUCUCCAGUGGAAAGAUUUGAAAUGCAGAAUAGUCAGCAUUCCACAAUUUCUGCCCACAAGCAAGUGUGAGAUCGCUCCAAGAUGCCUUGCUUCCUUGUGCUGCAGAGGUUUUCUAAUGAGAAGCCAAACUUCUGGAAGCUGGAGAUGCUGCAGCACACAGCCCUUGGAGAGGAACCUUGUAAAGCCAGGUGGAUGUGGAAAUAAGUCAGGCUGCGCUGGAAACUGACAGCAACCUAUAGCAGUGAAUGGAGUGUCUGUCAGUUUCCACAAAUAAAUAAAUCCACAAAUAAAUAGAUAAAACUUAAAAAUACUAAGUUUUUCCAGAAGUUCAUCCCAUAACCAAUACUAGGAUCAUAACCAAUACUUAAUCAGCCUCUUAUUAAGCUGUGUGUCUUUACAGGCAUUUGGACACACUACAAUCAUUUUAAAAACUCUUCCCAUAGUAGAGCACGUGCAGAAGUAUUUACUGAGGCAUGUUUCUGCUGCUUCUCUGAUGCAUUCGUUUUCUACUGUAAGCCUGCAUUCAGUGAUUAGCUGUCAGGGAGGAGAGGGAAGGGAAGGAGCUGCACAAGUGCAUUUCAGCUGACUUCUACCUCUUGGGAUCUAAGCACAGUAAUCCAAAGCAGAUGUAGGGAAAAAAAAGAACAAGAGACGCAUAAAUACAAUUAUUCUAAUGCCUGUUUGAUUUCCCACAUUUGUAAGUGAUUUACUGAUGAAAAUUCAAGUGUGUUCAUGAGGCGAAGAUCUCUGUUCACGUUCAUUUUUGCCCCACUCCUUGCUACCUUUGAACAUAACUGCUGGUGUUCCUUACUCCUCCUUGGGAGCUUUAUGGAGGGCUUGUCCUUUCCUUUCACAGUUUCUUUUCCCCUUUUCUCCUUCCUAUUACUCUUCUUCUUUCAGUUUCUUCUGCUUGUUCGACCACAUUGCUUGUGCUCAGCUACCUGGUCAGCUUUGCAUUGCAGCAGUGUUUCAGCGCACACCUGGAGCGCUCCCCUAAAAUCAUUCACCUGAUCAUCCAUCCCUCCUCACUGUCAUUUGCACCGAGGGAGCAGUUCAGCCACAGUCUCCCCUGCUCACAGCUGCCCGCUGAGGACAGGAGGUGUCUGUAAGCUGCCAGGGAGGAGAUAGCACAGGGACCCCAGCAUCCCUAGCUGCUGAGGCCUCCCUUUCAUAGCCUGAAUAAUUGAUCCUUUAUGGUGCGGCAGAGAAACUUCAGCAAAGCACAGCUCUGCUGUUUUGGCAUGAAAGAAGAAAUGUUUUCAGUCUCUGCACAGUCAGGCUCUUUGCAUUUCAGACAAACAGACUCAUGAAAAAUACUUAAUUUUUCUUCAUUCGAACUGUUGCAAAGCCCCGAGGAGACUCCCCUGCCCACAGAAGUGCCCCUCAGCCCCCAAUGGGCUCCAUCUCUGUGGUGUAUCAGGCUUUUAAAACAUAGUCACCUUUUACAUCCUACUCUUCUCCUGCCUUUGCCGGGAGCAAAUACUGGUCCAGGAGGCUCAGAGACCACCACAGCCUCCUGCAGGGACAGUGAGCUCUGCUUCAAAACUGCUGCUAUCAGGUUUCUAUGACUUUAGCCCACAGCUUCAGCAGCACGCUGGUAGCUCUUGGCAGCCUGAGGCAAGCCUCAGCAUUGCUGCAGCUCACAAAUAUUAUCUGCUGGAGAAGAGCCAUGCUCCUGGCCUCCGUCCCAACGCGCUUGUUUUGUAAUACGUGUCAUGACUAGGCAUCAGAAAUUAGCAAAACAGUGGGAACAAAAAGCGAAAGUUUUGAGCCAAAUGAAAGGCACUUCUGGUAUUUGGUUUGUGAAUCUGCACUCUCAAAUAAAAGCACCAGCGGAGAGGGCAGAAUAAAGCCAAAGUGUGGGAGCUCGUAAUGCAGGCUCCACCAACACAACCAUCCGUUUUGAGCUCUGCAUGGCCUUUUAUGUGCAUACAUUCUAAAUGACAAAACUCAAGAACAAAACCUAUCAAAAAAGCCAUAUUUUGACACUGAUGUGUAAAGUGAGGCAUGUAGAGCUGUCCAUCUUUUUUUGCAUUAGGCACAUGAAUAAGCUGACAUUUCUCUGAGACUAAUUAAAUAGAUGACAAUGCCAUCACAUUCAGAAGAACAAACAAGCAUUCCUAUUAAAACAUGGCAGAGUGGGAGGUUUGUUCAAAGAUGGACAAAGAAAUACGCAGAAAUGUGAACAGAUGGGAAUGAAAACAGGGUGAUUUGUUUGAAAAUAGUCACUCAGAAACAUAAUGGUGUCUAUUAGGAUGGACUUUUUUUAGUUUUCUCCUUUAAACACGUUAUCAGAAAGGUGAUAAAAAUACAUUAUGAUAUUCUUGUCCUUUUAGUAGUAGCUUAAGUUCUGGUUUGUAUGUUUCAUAUCUAUGUGAAAACUUUACCCGGAGUGCAGAUAGCUGCAAAUACAACUCAGCCAUAUUCCACUGCCCCAUAGGCAGUGACUAUCACAAAUAUCACUCAGAAACACCUGCCCUUUUGGCAGCAAGAGAGAAGGUGAGGGUGAUGAAACGCCCUGAGAUCCAGCUCACCCUGCACAGAGCCACCAUGGUGCAAUACAGGCUGUAAAGCUCCUUGUGCCAAGGGGCUUUGGUUGACAUCAGCCUUUGGGUCUGUGUGUCCGUCAGGGCUUGGUGGGAGGAAACAGAUCUGCACCUCCCUACUAAUAGGAGUGUUAUACAGCUGUGAUUAUGUGGUUCAGACCUGUAAUCCACAGGUUUGUAGUAACACCUGUAAUGUAACUGCAAGCUGGUACAUCUGAUUGCAAAGAUCACUGAUAAUUUUGCAGUUCUACUGAUUUCUUUCUAGUGUGAUCAUUAAUUAAUACUUCUUAAUCAGUUUGCAUCAAGCUUGCAUUGGUUUGCAUCUUCAGCCUCUGACCUGCUGGGGAAGUGUCGAACCUUGGCAGUAACUGUGUUAGCAGCAGACUGAACCCAGUAUUUUCCUCAGCUUGCCAGUGUCCAAUUGCCUGCCAAAACACAGUAUGAAGUUAAUCAGUCAUUAAUUAUUGCCCGGACCCUUGAUAAUCUGCACAGCUGCCUUUGGCUAGUAAGGAAAUCCUAAAGGCCAGAAAGUCCUUCCUCCAGAAUCCAGGUUAUCAGAAAUUAUUUCUAAAUACUGUUGUCACUGCAGACCUCAGUGCAGUGUGGGAUUAACCUCUGGCAAACAGAGGCUGCAAAACAGACCUAAGCCUCAGCAAGGACAAACUCUCCCAUACAUCCCUACAGAUGAAUGAGGAAGGCUCAUCGCACUGCUGGCACUUGUGAACACUUGGCAGCAACAAGUGAAUGACUGUUUAUGCAGUCUGCUCCACCAAAUUUCAGUAUUCCCUGGCCUGUAAUCUCCUAUGUUUCUGCUUCUACUAAAAAUCAAGUUUGGCAAACAUUAGCCAUGUUGAAAAGAAGUUGGAAUAAAAGGCACCUUCUCUUACUACAGUGAGACAAUUUUCUAAAUGGAAGAGAAACUGGCACUGAAUUCCAAACUUCACAAGUGUGCUUUUGGCUGUUGCAGUCUCAAACAUUUUGGCUUAUUACUGGAUACAUGAGAUCAAGCUUCAGACAUUUGCCUUUCAUAGAGUCAUAGAAUCACAAGGUUGGAAACAACCUACAAGAUCAUCUAGUCCAACUGUCCUCCCAUAACCACUGCUACCACAAGCCACUACACCACAUCUUGUAGCUCCUCAUCCAGCCUUUAACAUAUCAAGGCACCAAACUUUGCUUUGAAACUUAUGGUAAAGGCUCAAAAUCAGCUUUGACGGAAGUUGUUCUGCUUUGGGCAAAGGGCUGAACAACCAGCCACCAGUGGCUGCCCUGUAUGGUAACCAAAGAUAGACGUUCCUUGUAUAACUGCUCAUUUAUUUCAGUUUCAACUGAAGUCAGACUUAGUCAGUGGUCACUAUUAGGAUUAUGUCCCAUUUUCAUAAUACUUUUUAGUUGUUUGAAACCUCUGGACAUUGCUACAAACAGCGUGAUGUGAUAAGUAACAGGAUUACUUCAUUUAUAUCCAGUGAACAACCUGGUAAGGACAGACAGACUGCUAUGGAGUAUUGCCAGGUGUUGUGCCCAUUCAGGAGCCAUAACAAUUACUGCUUAACCAUAACUUCCCAAUAGGGAACACCAGGUAGAACUUUUGGCACUAAAUUAGUGUGUCAUACUGAUGGCUCAGGAAUAAGAACAUUAACAAAGCACCCGUUUUAUUCUGGAAGAAAACUAACAUUGUGACAUACUGAUAUAUAGAAGACUGUAGGAAAAGCUGAGACACUAAAAUGCCCUUGGCUCAGUACAGUUGCUCUUAGCAACAACUAAGACAUCAGUGUGUUAUGAACACUGUUAUCAUCCUCAAGAGCAGCACCAUACCAGACACUGUAAAGAAAAAUUACUCUGUCACAGCUGAAGCUGGGACAAGCAGCUACAAAGAGCACAAUAACACUAUUUGGUACAGCAACAUCAGAGGCCCAGUAACUCACAGCUGGUCUCAGUGGAAGCUGACAACUCCUCAUCAGAAACAGAGAAACUAGAUUUGGAGAUUUCUAGAAGCUUGUCAUUUUAAAAAGGAGAGCAGUCAGACACCGAGUUGCAUCAUAUGGCUGAACAUCAGUGACAGCCUCUAUCUCACCAGCUCAGAAUGCAGGUAUUUUUAUUUUAACAAGAAAAAGGUUUCUUCUUUAUUUUAAAUGAUAAACAAUAACGAUCCCAUCAGAUACAGACAUUCUAUUAAAAGAAAAACCAAAACACAACAACAAGCAACAAAGCAGGAAUUAAAAUAAAAAAAUUGGCAUAAACUUUAAUAGUAUUUUUCCUGAGCAAGAUUUACAACACAGCAUGCAGAUGCUUUUAAUAACUUACUUCACUAUACAUUCUGCACUAGUGACAGUUGUGCAAUAAAGGUAGUAACUGAUAUGUUUCCAGCUUUUAGUCAUUUCAAAGUGGCAGCAUGUUCCAUAAUCAGAGUUCUGCUGUUAAUGGUGUCCAUGUGAAGUUUCCAAUGCCUGUGAAGCUGAAGUAAUUGAAUUCAGCAGCGCACUGGAAGCUCUUUAGUCCUCAAACACAAAUUCUGCAUUAGAAUUUUGAUAAGAGUUCAUGACAUCAUUUAUCACAACCUUAGGCAACAGAGUAAAAACUUAUCAACCAGCCUCUUUUCUAAUGGAUAAACUGGCUGAAAACGCAAGGGGAAAUUAUAGUGUUAGUAAGGCAAACAGAAUGUCAGCACACAUAGCUGAAGUCACGUUUCUGACAAGUUCUUUGGGUAAAACACUGAGCUCAUAUUGCAGGAGUCCAACAUACGUGUACAGCACAAAAAGGGCCACGUACUGUAACAAAGGUAACACAGCACAGCUGAUUUUUUAUUCACAGAAAAUGGCACAUAUUUCUGUUAUAGUGAAGGAAUGUUACAAACAAUUGUAACUAACAAGGCAACAGUACCUUCUCAAAUCACACAUGUAGCUCCUUUACAGUGAAGAAAGAGCUAUGGGGUUACACUAAAAUGUGAAACAAACACAUUUCUGCUUUGUCCAGAAAUAACUUUAUCACCACACAGUGCAGAUUAAUCUCUGCUCUCAAUAUAACACACCGACCAAACUUGCCCACACUGUCAAAGAAUAAGUCUGGUUAACUCGACACUGCAACUUUCACUGUUAAUGGAGUUCUAAACUGUGUUAUUUUCAAGCAAAGCAAAGAUGAAUAUUUGCUGACUGUGAACUAAGAAGACUGGAAAGAUUAUUGGCUUGAAUUCACUUAGUAAAAUGCUAAUCACGCAAGCUGAAAGCUGUGCUGAUCUCUUUAUCGGGAUUAAUAAACAUAUUAAUCGCAGUG